GUCCAUGCCGUAAACGUUGGGAACUAGAUGUAGGGGCCAUUCCACGGUUUCUGUGUCGCAGCUAACGCAUUAAGUUCCCCGCCUGGGGAGUACGGCCGCAAGGCUAAAACUCAAAGGAAUUGACGGGGGCCCGCACAAGCGGCGGAGCAUGCGGAUUAAUUCGAUGCAACGCGAAGAACCUUACCAAGGCUUGACAUAUACGAGAAUGCGGCAGAAAUGUCGAGCUCUUUGGACACUCGUAUACAGGUGGUGCAUGGUUGUCGU
rnacentral:rRNA from 1 species